rnacentral:rRNA from 2 species
AAUCCAUAGGUUAAUGAGGCGAACCGGGGGAACUGAAACAUCUAAGUACCCCGAGGAAAAGAAAUCAACCGAGAUUCCCCCAGUAGCGGCGAGCGAACGGGGAGGAGCCCAGAGCCUGAAUCAGCAUGUGUGUUAGUGGAAGCGUCUGGAAAGGCGCGCGAUACAGGGUGACAGCCCCGUACACAAAAGCGCAUGUGCUGUGAGCUCGAUGAGUAGGGCGGGACACGUGGUAUCCUGUCUGAAUAUGGGGGGACCAUCCUCCAAGGCUAAAUACUCCUGACUGACCGAUAGUGAACCAGUACCGUGAGGGAAAGGCGAAAAGAACCCCGGCGAGGGGAGUGAAAAAGAACCUGAAACCGUGUACGUACAAGCAGUGGGAGCACCCUUUUGGGUGUGACUGCGUACCUUUUGUAUAAUGGGUCAGCGACUUAUAUUCUGUAGCAAGGUUAACCGUAUAGGGGAGCCGUAGGGAAACCGAGUCUUAAC